UUGGUCAUUUAGAGGAAGUAAAAGUCGUAACAAGGUCUCCGUAGGUGAACCUGCGGAGGGAUCAUUACACAAAUAUGAAGGCGGGCUGGAACCUCUCGGGGUUACAGCCUUGCUGAAUUAUUCACCCUUGUCUUUUGCGUACUUCUUGUUUCCUUGGUGGGUUCGCCCACCACUAGGACAAACAUAAACCUUUUGUAAUUGCAAUCAGCGUCAGUAACAAAUUAAUAAUUACAACUUUCAACAACGGAUCUCUUGGUUCUGGCAUCGAUGAAGAACGCAGCGAAAUGCGAUAAGUAGUGUGAAUUGCAGAAUUCAGUGAAUCAUCGAAUCUUUGAACGCACAUUGCGCCCUUUGGUAUUCCAAAGGGCAUGCCUGUUCGAGCGUCAUUUGUACCCUCAAGCUUUGCUUGGUGUUGGGCGUCUUGUCUCUAGCUUUGCUGGAGACUCGCCUUAAAGUAAUUGGCAGCCGGCCUACUGGUUUCGGAGCGCAGCACAAGUCGCACUCUCUAUCAGCAAAGGUCUAGCAUCCAUUAAGCCUUUUUUUUCAACUUUUGACCUCGGAUCAGGUAGGGAUACCCGCUGAACUUAAGCAUAUCAAUAAGCGGAGGA
rnacentral:rRNA from 1 species